rnacentral:misc_RNA from 1 species
AAGUCGUAACAAGGUAACCGUAGGUGAACCUGCGGUUGGAUCAUUAACAAAUAAUUUAGGCCCCUGGCUGCCUCAAAAGGGCGAAGGGGGAAAACCUAAACAUUUGUGUGCACCAUAUCUGUCCUUGGCAGUUCGAGUGUCCUGGGUCGCGUAACUGCCUCAGGUACCUACCGAGGCUUUCCUUUCGGGGUUUGCCAAAGUUGGGCUGCCGCUUCUAGAACAAACCUUUUGUAAUUUAUUUUUGCCUGAAUUUGUUUGAUCUUCAUGAUUGAAUUUAAAUACAACUUUUGACAACGGAUCUCUUGGCUCUC